UACGUAGGGUGCAAGCGUUGUCCGGAAUUAUUGGGCGUAAAGAGCUCGUAGGCGGUCUGUCGCGUCGGCUGUGAAAACCCGGAGCUCAACUCCGGGCCUGCAGUCGAUACGGGCAGACUGGAGUUCGGCAGGGGAGACUGGAAUUCCUGGUGUAGCGGUGAAAUGCGCAGAUAUCAGGAGGAACACCGGUGGCGAAGGCGGGUCUCUGGGCAACAACUGACGCUGAGGAGCGAAGCGUGGGGAGCGAACAGGAAUUAGAUACCGGUG
rnacentral:rRNA from 1 species